rnacentral:rRNA from 1 species
CCUACGGAGGCAGCAGUGGGGAAUAUUGGACAAUGGGCGAAAGCCUGAUCCAGCCAUGCCGCGUGUGUGAAGAAGGCCUUCGGGUUGUAAAGCACUUUCAGUGGGGAAGAAAGCCUUGGGGCUAAUACCCUCGAGGAAGGACAUCACCCACAGAAGAAGCACCGGCUAACUCCGUGCCAGCAGCCGCGGUAAUACGGAGGGUGCGAGCGUUAAUCGGAAUUACUGGGCGUAAAGCGCGCGUAGGCGGUCUGAUAAGCCGGUUGUGAAAGCCCCGGGCUCAACCUGGGAACGGCAUCCGGAACUGUCAGGCUAGAGUGCAGGAGAGGAAGGUAGAAUUCCCGGUGUAGCGGUGAAAUGCUUAGAGAUCGGGAGGAAUACCAGUGGCGAAGGCGGCCUUCUGGACUGACACUGACGCUGAGGUGCGAAAGCGUGGGUAGCAAACAGGAUUAGAUACCCGAGUAGUC